rfam:Aquimarina sp. RZW4-3-2 contig5, whole genome shotgun sequence.
AUGGAGAAACCGAAAAUCCAAUAAAUAGAGUAGGCA